rnacentral:rRNA from 2 species
GUGCCUAAUACAUGCAAGUCGAACGAACUCUGGUAUUGAUUGGUGCUUGCAUCAUGAUUUACAUUUGAGUGAGUGGCGAACUGGUGAGUAACACGUGGGAAACCUGCCCAGAAGCGGGGGAUAACACCUGGAAACAGAUGCUAAUACCGCAUAACAACUUGGACCGCAUGGUCCGAGUCUUGAAAGAUGGCUUCGGCUAUCACUUCUGGAUGGUCCCGCGGCGUAUUAGCUAGAUGGUGAGGUAACGGCUCACCAUGGCAAUGAUACGUAGCCGACCUGAGAGGGUAAUCGGCCACAUUGGGACUGAGACACGGCCCAAACUCCUACGGGAGGCAGCAGUAGGGAAUCUUCCACAAUGGACGAAAGUCUGAUGGAGCAACGCCGCGUGAGUGAAGAAGGGUUUCGGCUCGUAAAACUCUGUUGUUAAAGAAGAACAUAUCUGAGAGUAACUGUUCAGGUAUUGACGGUAUUUAACCAGAAAGCCACGGCUAACUACGUGCCAGCAGCCGCGGUAAUACGUAGGUGGCAAGCGUUGUCCGGAUUUAUUGGGCGUAAAGCGAGCGCA